CCUACGGGAGGCAGCAGUGGGGAAUUUUGGACAAUGGGCGCAAGCCUGAUCCAGCAAUGCCGCGUGCAGGAUGAAGGCCUUCGGGUUGUAAACUGCUUUUGUACGGAACGAAACGGCGAGCUCUAAUAAAGUUCGCUAAUGACGGUACCGUAAGAAUAAGCACCGGCUAACUACGUGCCAGCAGCCGCGGUAAUACGUAGGGUGCAAGCGUUAAUCGGAAUUACUGGGCGUAAAGCGUGCGCAGGCGGUGAUGUAAGACAGAUGUGAAAUCCCCGGGCUCAACCUGGGACCUGCAUUUGUGACUGCAUCGCUAGAGUACGGUAGAGGGGGAUGGAAUUCCGCGUGUAGCAGUGAAAUGCGUAGAUAUGCGGAGGAACACCGAUGGCGAAGGCAAUCCCCUGGACCUGUACUGACGCUCAUGCACGAAAGCGUGGGGAGCAAACAGGAUUAGAUACCCUGGUAGUCCACGCCCUAAACGAUGUCAACUGGUUGUUGGGUCUUCACUGACUCAGUAACGAAGCUAACGCGUGAAGUUGACCGCCUGGGGAGUCGGCCGCAAGGUUGAAACGUCAAAGGAAUUGACGGCUGAGACGNGCGAGCGACGACGAGGGGAGAGG
rnacentral:rRNA from 1 species